UUUACAGUAGAUCAUUAUGUAAAAUGCAUUGUAAGGCAGCUUCAUUUUGAGAAAGUGCUAUGACUGUACGAGUGAGUGCAGGUUAAUCAUUUGUACGUAUUGAACAGUGUGAAAGUAGUAUAUAUCAAAGAACAAUAGUUCAUUUGUAAGAAUUGUGAUAUGAAAGUUAUAUUUGAGAAAUAUUAAGUGAUGCAAGAUUUUUAUAAAUAAAUGAGUCUUGAA
rnacentral:lncRNA from 1 species